GCCGCCAUCGUGCUGAGCAGUUGCUGUGUCGUUCGUCCUGUGCUAAAUGUGCUGGAGGUGGUCCAUGAAAAUUUUUUGAUUGGCCUGGUGGUCUGUGGACUGAAAUGAGUUGAGAACUACUGGCAUAAUGGAACAUUCCACCCAAACUUCCCUGUGAAAACUUGCUUCGCUGUAGAAAACCCCCGUCUAUUCACUCAACCUCAGUUGUCACCUAUCACUCCACAUUGGAAGCCAUAUAUGGGUAUCAUUAAAACCAAUGGUGUGCCACCAAGACUAGUGAGUGGACUGCAAGAGUGGCUCUCAUGAUUGGAAUCCAGUGGUGGCAACCUGCAGCCCACUGGGAAUUCAGCGGCAACUCGUGUACCUCCCCCCCUCCUUUCCCCCAUGCCUCUCACACACUGGGGCACUGGAGCGCCACAUUUCCUACUCCUGCCCUUCCCAGCACUUCCCAUCAGCUGUUAACAGUUCUUCAAGCUCUGGAAGGGAGAGGGAGGAGUAGGAAGUGCAGGACUCCAGUGCCCCAGUGCAUGAAAGAUGUACAGAGAGACUAUGUGCAGGCCUCAGGUGGAACCUCAGUGAAUUGUAUGCAGCCCACGAGCCACAGGUUGCCUACCACUGUAUUAAACAAUGACAGUCCUCAAUGGAGACCACAUCCUGAAAGAAAUUUUCCCAAACCCUGAUUCUGUCCUUCAAACAACCCCCACAACUUCAUAUCAGAAGCAAGCUCCCCACAAAUAAGGAUUCCUUAACAUAAAGGAUCAGAUCUUGUCAGAAAAACAGAUGCAAAACCUGUUGACAUAUUUCCACUGCUACACCAAUCCCACCCUCUCCAUAUACCUUGCAAAAUCCAUGGGUCCUAUUAAUGCCUAUCACAAUGUGCAUUAAAUACCUCCAAUGAUGAAAGCAAGAAUACCAUAUUACCCACAGGGUGAACACUUACCACAGAAUGAUCAUUCCAUAUCUGACCUCUCAGUCCUCAUCUUCAAAGGAAAGUCACAAAACGCUUUCAAAACACAAACCUGAGAACUUAAAUUCAUACUGUUUAUAGACACUACAAAUCAUAGUCUUACUAAGGCUCCAGAUUGAUUGAAAUCUAUAACCCUCUAGCCUCUGCCCUCCUUUAUUUGUCCCAUGAUUGGAGAAGUGUUAACGGGACCACUCCACUUUAAAUGGUCUUUUAGUGCUAAAUAGUCUGUUCCAUCUUUUAUUUAGCUGCAAGACUCUUGAGCAUAAAUCUUUACUAAAGAUGUUAAAUGGCUCUUAUCUGGCUAAUUGUGUAGCCGAUAAAAUUGUAUCGGCUACAUGAUUAGUCGAUAAGAGGACCCUCUGCAGAGCUGCAGCAGGAGCCGGCUGGAACCAGGACUGAGCAGUCCCGGGUUUUGCCGCCUCUGCACUGCGGUGGCUCUUACUACAUUUAAUCCUGCAGAGCCAUAACAUCCUGGACUGGGGUGAGCUGGUAGAGAUGUAGCCGUGUUAGUCUAGUCUAGCUGAAACAAAAAACAGGACUAUGUAGCAUU